AUGACAAUGAUGGCUGCCACCAGCGAGGAACGGAGUGUUAUGGAGCCCUCUCGGUCGAAUUCCGGGCAAGGCCAGCCCGUGGACCGGCUGAAGAUGCUCUACCCGAUGGUGAACGAGGAGGAGACGCCGCUGCCGCGGUCCUGGAGCCCGAAGGACAAGUACAAUUACAUAGGCCUCUCGCAAAACAAUCUCCGCGUUCAUUACAAAGGUUACGGGAAAACACACAAAGACGCUGCCAGUGUCCGCACAACGCACUCCAUACCGGCUGCCUGCGGUCUGUACUACUUCGAGGUGAAAAUCGUGAGCAAGGGAAGGGACGGGUACAUGGGCAUAGGCCUCUCCGCGCACGGUGUCAACGUGAACAGACUUCCCGGAUGGGACAAGCACUCUUACGGGUACCACGGCGACGACGGCCACAGCUUCUGUUCCUCGGGCACCGGCCAGCCGUACGGGCCAACCUUCACCACCGGUGACGUCAUCGGUUGCGGCGUCAACCUCGUGGACAACACGGCUUUUUACACGAAGAACGGCCAUCAUUUGGGCAUCGCCUUCACCGAUCUACCUCCUAAUCUGUAUCCAACGGUGGGCCUGCAAACACCGGGCGAGGUCGUGGAUGCAAAUUUCGGCCAGUCCCCGUUCGUCUUCGACAUCGGCGACAUGAUCAACGAGCUUCGGGCACGGACGAGACUACGAAUUAUUAAUUUCUCCACUUUGGAUCUUGGACAGGGCCAGUGGCAGGCUGUCCUUCACAAAAUGGUGUCCACGUACCUCGUCCAUCACGGUUACUGCGCCACCGCCGAAGCCUUCGCCAGCAGUACGGGUCAAGUCUUCGAGGAAGACUUCAAUUCUAUUAAAAAUAGGCAAAGAAUUUUAAAAUUGGUCCUAGCCGGCCGCAUGGGCGAGGCGAUCGAUCUGACCAGUCGGUUAUAUCCGGGACUUCUGGAACGCGAUCCCAACCUGAUGUUCGCUCUCAAGUGCCGCCAGUUCGUCGAGAUGGUGAACGGCAGCGACUCCGAAGUUUGCCAGAGUACCAAUGAGAACCAAACUAGCGUUAUACAAUCGACCAAAGCUUACGCGAAGUCUUCGACCAACGGAAACGUCGAGGACAUGAAUCUAAAUAAUACUUUAAACGGUGCCAGCGACCAGCAGUUCAUAAACGGCCAGAUCGAAGACGACGUGGACAUGGAGGAGACUACCAUGGGAACGAUGAACGGUAUCAAGAGCAACAACGGGUACCAAAAUGGCAAUCCCAGCGCAAACGGGUUCAAGUGUCAAAACGGCGAAGACGUAGACAUGGAAGUCGACGGCACCGGUCAGAGCCAACAGCAGCAAAACGGCAACUGCGUCGUCGGGGUCGACGGGGUGACGAGCGUCGGGAAGAACAACAAGAAGCAGCUGUGCGGCGGCAAUAAGCAGGCUAUCGAAAAGAUGCUGGAAUUCGGCAGGCAGUUGUACUCCCAGUCGAUACAUCUCAGGCAGCAGCACGGCAAGAACGAGGAGAACAAGAAGAUGUUGCAGGAUGCGUUCAGUCUGUUGGCUUACUCGAACCCGUGGAACUCACCGGUCGGGUGGCAGUUGGAUCCGCAACAGAGGGAAACAGUAUGCGCCAGGCUUAACUCCGCCAUUCUCGAGUCCAGCAAUUUGCCGCGUCGACCGCCCCUGGAGGUGGCGGUGUCUCACGCCAGAGAGUUGGUACGCCUGAUGUCGAGUGUCGGCCUCGGAGCCUGCGGGUUCGCGGUGGUAGAUAACAUUAUUCAAUAUUGACGGUGCCUCCCUCUGCUCCCACGACCGCCCCUUCUGCCGGCCCGUGUGUGGACGCGGAGACGGAACGUGGAGCAGAUGAUUCUGUUGACGCAGCAACAUCGCGAUGUCGCGUGCCUCUUCAGCUAGAGCAACCCGAUUAAUCGGCGAUACUCGGCUAGAUCUCACACCACUGACACGACAUAAGAUGAACGUUCAGACCUGCCAACCAAAAUGACACUUGACGUUUUUAGCUUAAAAACACACGCGGAACGAGAUAGAUACGAACUGGGAGUCGCAGAGAGGGGAGGAGAGAGGAAACGAACGAGCGAGCGAGCGAGAGAGAUCGAAAGGGAGGGAGAGAAAGAGGGACGGGAAAUGAGAGAACUGGCCAAUUUUGCGCGUGUAUGUACCGCCGAAUCUACCAAGAGCAAAGAGGACGGCGGUGAGCGCCGUGCUCCCUCGUUUCCAGAUGCUUGUCGAACGCUCAACUGGUACGGCCAAGCGCGAUGGCUUCCACUUUGCCAUAUUCCUUUUUUUUUUAUUUCACUUUAUGAAUUAUCUUACUUUUUUUUUUUUUGUAACUCCUUAUUAAGACUUGCCCUUCGGUUUGUCCAGCGCGCCGAGCCGCCUGUCUCGUUCCUAUGCCUUAACAAUCGUGUGCAAUACCGUGGUCGCAGUCGAUCGAGCAAUCAAGUGCGGAAACGUCACCGUAGCUCAGCCUUUACUUCUUGUUUGUUGUUCGGCCAAAAAGGCUUUGCCCGAAUUUCUCAACCGUCCGAGGAUGAAGACGUCGAAGUAUCGCGUUAUCUUGGAUCUCGGGUUUCUUUCUUUGUUAUUGUUGGGAGGAAAAUUGGUUGGUACUUUUAGUGAAAAGAAACGGAUGAAAUAAAAGAGAUUUUACGUUUCACUUUGCACUGUUACCUCCGUCGUGUGACUUUCACCGUGUUCGUUUUCGGUGUAGGAUUUAUGUGUCAGUGGAAAUUUCUGGCAUUAGGGUCCGUAAGUUAAAGAAAAAGAAAAGGCGUCCCAUUAAAAAGAGAUCCAUCGACAUCGAAUAUUUUCUUGUGGAAAAUCAGUUUGGCAACCCUUCGCACUGUAGACCAUUGCGGAGGUUCGUUUUAAGGACGAUUGCCUACUGGCCGGUUCUGCGAGAAAAAAAAAAUGUCUGUGAUAUGUGGACGAAAAAGUAAAAAAAAAAAAAGAGAAAUUACAGUGAAAACGAACCUAGAGAUCCUUUCAUUCGACUGGCGCUCGCAAUUGUCUGGGAACGAGGGAACGUAUUCAUUUUAGAGAUGGACAAGGUCUUACGUUUAUAUAUAAAUAAUUAUCAGAAGCAAAAACAAAAACUUAACUAAGGAACGAUCUUGUACUCUAUACUAAGUAAUUGUUUUUUAUAUGCGACAUAGUAUAUUAUUAUAUUAUAUAUUAUUAAAGAAGAAAAGAAAGGAAAUCGUAUGCAGCUAGGCGUAAGCGUGCGUUUAAAUACAAUAAUUUACUAUAUAUACAACAGAAAAAAAAA
rnacentral:misc_RNA from 1 species